UUGAUUAGAAAUCUUGUUUCAACAUUUGUUUUUGUCAAUUUUUAUUCUUCAUUGAACAUCAAAAAGUCGGAAAUUUUCGUUGCAAAUUGCCCCGAACAACCACGUUAUUCACCAGAUGCAGAAAUUUCUGUUUUCUAAACAGUUUCGGACCAAAUUGGAAGGUACCUAUAGAAAAUAUUUUCUAAUAUGAAUCCAAUGUUAUACCUACCUCUGGUUCAGUUUUGAAUUUUCCCUGAUGACCUUGUACAACACAGCAAUGGUUGAUACAAAUCUUAAUACCUACUCAUUCCUAUGUAUACACAUAAUAAUUUUCUUCUUUAAGAUAAAAAUUGUUUUCUUUUUGUAUAAUCUACAAUCAGAUUAAAAAUUAAGGCUUCCAAAAAAGUCAGUAUUUCGAUUCAAAAAGCGUUUCGUGACAGGUACAUACAGAAAUCAACAUAUUUGCACAAAAUAAAAAUAUGUAUUAAAUAAAAUUUAAAAAAAAAUUGAAAAAAUUUAACACAAAUAGGGAUUUUCUAUCUAGGCACCUAAAAAACUUAUUGUAGAGAAAAAAAAAAUAAAAGGAGAGAAAAAGAAGAAAAAAUCAACAUCAGCUCAACUACUCACCUCUUCAAGUAUUGAGACUGUCUGUCGACAAUCGGGCAUCCGUGACGCAAAAGUCGACGUUGUCGGUGAAUUAUAAUCAUCUCUAGUUUCUUCAACAAAAUCAGCAAUUCCUAUUAGAACAGGCAUUUUUGCAAAGUGUUUUUUGUUUUUUU